rnacentral:sRNA from 1 species
UACAGGGUAUGAUGUUACUUGUUCAGUA